UCUCAAUAGCUUCUCUGCCUUGCAUCUGA
rnacentral:piRNA from 3 species